GCAGCGGCGUCGGCGGCGGCCGUAGCGACACGGUGGUCGUUGUCGGUUAGCGCUACGCCGACACUUUCGCCGGGUGCGAGCGACCUGGACAACGACGUGUCAACUGGCGCAGAGUGCCCUCUCACGACUCCCACUACGACUUGUGUCGCUGAGGGAGUCCCGUGUUUUACUAGUUCGUAUCGAUACUGUUCAACCUUCAACGUUUGCUAGUGUCGUGGCGUUGUUAAUGAAGUACUGAUAUCGUCAUAACGGGACUUGAACGUUUUUACGACAUGCACGUGUAAACUGUUAAGAUUUGCGGAAAACUAGAGGUCACUGCAAACACAAGAGCUAAAGUUUGUGGUCGUACAGUGAGUGCGAUUCCUGAGGGUGCAGUUUACCGGGUGCGUCCGGUGGACGCGGAUGCCGUAUCGAAGAAUUCGAUUCGGGCAAAGUAGGAUCGGCGCGAGAAGUCGUGAGUGUAGUCCAGUGAAGUGAGUGAAGAGCGAUCGACGUGUGACGACGGCUGUAUGCUACUGAGGCUGGACGGAUGCGGAACGACACAGUCGUGAUGCAGCGAUGAAUUUCGGUAGACCUGGACGGUUUGAUAUCGCUGGAUAUUAACGCAUAAUAGCAAAAUGAUGGCAUAUAAUUUGAACAAAGCGUUAUAUUAUGUGGUGCAUGUUUAGACCGAAACAUUAAUUUCUAACAAGAAAACGUAAUUACACACUGCUAAUUAAAAUUAUAAAGACACAUUGAUAAUUUAGUAUAUAUAAAUAAAAUAACAUUUAUGCAUAUAGUUGGCAUUUACAAGUUAGUUGAAAAAAAUUAGGGAUUAAUGGCGUGCGGUAGUGAUAUCUAAUUAAGUCUAAGUUUUUGGCAGACAUGAUGACAAUCAAUAUAAAGAAGAUAGAAGAUACAUUUAACAAAUAUGAGAAUAAGUCGUCUUGAUAUUUGAGAUUUUCGCGAUGUCCAUUCGAUCAAACAUUAGAUUUGAUUUCCGGAUUUGAGCCGCGUGAAUUCUUCUUUGUCUGAUCCCGAGCAAGUCUUAAAGGACGUGUGUAGCGCCAUCUGCGUUACUCUCGCGAAUCUUUGGAAUAUUGGCUGCGUUCACUAGAGAAAGCUGCUCUGCAACUGUUGUAAAAUUCGUGAAUCUGAUUGGUCCACAUGCUCUUAGAUUCAGUCAAGAUUAAGAGCAUACACCAAUUAGAUUUACGAAUUUUACAAAAGUUACAAAGCAGCUUUCUCUGAUGAACAUAAACAUUAUGUGAAUUGAUGUACAUCAAAGUGAGGCAUCGAGUCGAUGCGCGUCGCGGGAACACGAUAAGCACGUCUGGCCGGUUGUUUACGAGAAUGCGGGAACCGUGUAACGGCAUAGACCGCGUAAGGCAACGGCCGGGUAGCUCGGCCCGAAACACCCUUGGAACACCCCCCCUGAUGGCUAUAAAACUUCCGGAAAACCAUGCGCGCCUGUCCGCCCGCUGUCACAUACGCUCUUUCCCGCUUACCGGGAGUUACGAGGCUGUAAUUUCAGAGAGGGAGGGUACCUCUUUUACCCUCUCCCCGCUUUAUCUCCUCGUGCCCUAUACCUUUCCCUUUCCACGGGUCCGCCGUCGCCGACCCCUUUGUGCUCGACUGUAAUCCCUCUGCCGCACUGGUACCGGCACCGGCGUACAGGUCUGGUCGUCUCCUGUCCCAGGAUGGAAACACCGUCGACGACAAAGUUGAAGUUACGACCACGGUGAACUCACAAAAGCUUUUUACAAAACUGUUAGUCAGUUUCGGUGUGAGACGGGGAUACGAAUAAUUUGCGGCCGCAAAUGUUCAUAUUCGAACGUCUCAGCGCCUUGUGUCUCCUUCUAUCCUCCGAUGGAUAAUAUCUCGUGAUUCCAGUGCUGUUUCGAUAGUUCAGUAGGGAUGCAUCGAGAGAACCUAUUUGGAAACGUACCCGUAAUAAAUAUCAUAGCUGAAUCACUAAUGAUUAUCUAUAGCUUUCUUCAAUGUUGCUUUAAUCAUUAGGUUUACAUAGUUUUUAUGAAACCAGGUUAUAUACUUUUGCAAAACUGUCUGAAAACUAGGUGACAUAUCGUACAGUGGGAAAUUUGUGCUGGACAUUUGGAAACGAGACCUGUCCAAACAGGGCGUCCCAAGGUACAAAAGCAACGGAACGCAGUUUGUAUAUAAUGACUUUGGACGUGGGGCGCGAACAGCUGCCUGUCACAGCGUAAGGAAGAGAAAAGGCUGAGAAGCGUGCACGGCGUGUCGUAUGAAUGAAUACGGUGCUAGUGUAGAUAGACAUAAGUCCCUGACGAAUAAAGUUAAUGUCGAAAUUGUCAACAUGAAAUAUUUGAGGGUCGAAUGCGGUGGACAGGCGUGACCCUCCUCGCUAAGAUGAGAGAAUAUCUUUGUAUGUCGUUUAUGUAAAGAAGCUUUGUAUUUCUCUUGAAUUUAUUGAAGUGAUCCUGCAAUUCCGAGCCGCCUUAACGAUACUGACAAAGAAUGGCUUUGACGGACAGAGUGUGGCAUUAUAACUUAUAGAUAUUGCGAACGGUCCGAAAUUGACAUUUUAGAAAUUAUCGAAAUUUAAAUAUCUUAAUUAUUAGACGAAUAAAUAGUUUCUGCAAAUUUCUACAACAAUUUUUAAAAUGACCAAAUUGCGUAAUCAUUUGUUACUUCCACUAAAAAGAUACUUGCCUAUUAUGUACGUGCCAACCAAUCGAGGAUCUUUUCGAAAGCAUCAAAAGGUUAAAGUUGUUUCUGUAAACAGAGCAUACAGUAGCACCGACAUUUCGACUGACAAGAGUAUCAUGACGUCAGUUUAGCAGGGACCAACCGCAAUCGCGAAGAGCAGUGGGACCAUCCACAAACAUGAACUGUGCAGACAGUGUUUGCACAGUCGGUUAGCAUCGAGUGCUACUGUAUGCAUAGGCUUGUCGUUGCCAUCGCGGUCGACGUGUGCGUCGGAUAGCGUAAAUAAAGUAGCCACGGGCGCUAAGUCUGCUAAGUAUCCCUCUCCCCGCUCCUCAGUAUACGUUCUCCAUUAGCGUUUUUGGUAGGAGUAGGAAACUUGGCGUUCGUCAAGCAACUAUACUACAGAAACUGAAGUUAAUAUACGCUUGGUCCUAAACAAGCAACGCUGUUUUGUUCUUGUCCUCUGUCGGAAACACCAUUAAGAUAUCUUCGUUCUUCAUUAUUUUUACUGGAAAAUAUAAACUAAUUAUUUUUAUUAAUAAACAGAUUUAUAGCACGUUAUCGUAGAACGAGUUUAGUUAACACGAAAAGCAGACGAAAAGUACAUAAUGUUAAAUUCAAGUUUAAUAAAUUUUUCUUUAAUUCAAGUAUUUUUUUCUCCUUUUGUAAUUUUGAAGUGUUGCCAUUUGUAAGCUCAAAACAUCACACAUCGUGACGUAUAAAUUAACAUUACUUCAGGAAAAAGUAGAAAACAAUGGCUACAGAUAAUAGAUUACAUUCUUUUUGCCUUUUGAUUUGGUAAGUGUUCUGGUCAAAAAGUAAUGUUUACAAAUUGAAUAUCGUGAUGUCACAACUUGAUUCUCAAUUAAAGAUGAUUCAUAUCAUACAUUCAGGGAUUUUUCAAUAAACAGAAUUGUAUAUGUCGAGAGAGCAAUUUUUGUAUGGUUACAUUACAUAACUGUAAUGUAACCACACAAAAAUUGCUCUCUUGACAUAUACAAUUAUAUACAUAAUUUAUAGAUCCUUCUGUGCAGUUAUCUACAUGAAAUGACACUUGUCUUCACUGUUUGCAAAUAUAAAUUAUCCAUUAAGUCUGGCAGUUGCGUUCUGUUUUUCUUUCGAAAUACAUUAAUAACAUGACAUGAAAGAUGAUUCGUUUUACAGACCGGUUAUUUGAUACUCAAAUAUUUUCUAAGGAAAUAAAAAAAAUUAACGUUUAUAUGUAUUCUGUAAGUUUAUUUUUCUCCAUUUAUGAUCUUGCAUCUUAUAGUUGAUCUUAUAUAAUCUUGAGUUUUACAUUCAUUAGAUAUCAAUAUUUGACCUAAAAUUACUACUCCCAUUAGUAUUUUGUUGCUUAGCUUAUAAUAUUCACUUAGUAGUUAUAUCUAUGCUUGAGGUAACGGCCAUUAUUUGUACGCAUUCAUUAUGUAAUUUGAUCAUUCAACGAAUUCUGGAGAAACAUUCCUUUAUGGAAUACCCAAAGUCAUUAAGCGUGUAAUAUUGUUCCUCGGGCAGCGAGGUAAAAAGUGGCUUUCAGAUAUUGCUAUUACCGCCACCAUGACGUAGCACUUCUCUGGCCUUCCUCCCCCUUUUCGUCUCAUCUUCUUUAAGCUAUAUUCUCGCCACCAACGGUAAAUCUGUGGGUUGUCAGGGGCGAAAGGUGCGACAUAUCUUAUCGUAAAUGUCUCAUAACGGCGUUGCGGCAGUAACGAUGCGUGACACAUGACGACGUAAAGCCGCGGCCCUCGUCAGAAGACUCUCCCAGCUCGUAAACCUCGGCUAACUCACCCUUUCGUUGAAGUAUCACGUUAGCUACGAUCAGGAAUCGUCAUACAUCGGAAAGCCUUAUCUUUGUCAUUCUUUUAUCAGUGUGCAUAUCGGACUAGUCUACCGUUUUAAAUAUAUUAUUUGUUAAUAUAUUUGCAACGUUCCCAUUUUCCCUUGACGAAGUCUUAUAUCAACCUGCUCGCUUACGUAAAAUAUAUAAUCCAUUGAAAGAAAUAAUUGUUCUCUCAAAAUAUCGUGCAUUAAAGUUUGAACUAUUUAUAUUGGGGCAUGUGGGGAUAUGGCAGAAAUAUAAUUAUUUAUAUAUAUUAAAGCACAUAUCGUAAAAAUGUUUACCUUAUUUAGGUAGUAUUUUAAGUAUCUUAAGAAAAAUAUGACUAUUAUAAAUAGAUUCGUCUCUUUUGCGCGCAUGAUGUAUCAAGCGACUAUAACAACACAACAUUGGCGGUCCGUGAGAGGUUGCAUGGUCGAGGGAUUGCAAGCAUUUGUAGAUUAUAUGAUAUGAAAUGGAAAGAGAAAAAGAAUGGGGUGAAAAAGAGAGAGAGAGAGAGGUCAAGUUAGGUGUAGCAAUGGUGUAGGUUUUCGAGUAUGGGAGGAAGGACUAUCUCAUUUAUGACGUCACGAGCCCUUCAGUACAGUAUGACGAUGUCACAAUCAUGCCCUGGUCAUAAAGUAAACAUCCGACAUCAAAGAACCGCCUGGGUAACAGUUUCCUGUCUCGCUUCUACUUCAUCCGUCGCUCUUCUUGUUGUAUCUCCCUCUGGAGCGCUUAGAUUCUUGAGAUUUCCGUAAUCUGUACAGUGGUAUCAUCAUUGUCAGAAAACGUUUAAAUAUAUAGAUUGUCACUAGAAUUUGGACGAACUUCAAGAAUCACAUUAAAAUAAAAAGAAUAGUGGUUUUUGGUUAUCAUUGAAAUAAUACACUCAAUAGUGAAAUAAUAUUAACUAUGUAACAUUUUCUUAUACAUGGUAAAUCUUUCUAGUAUUAACUUUUACAAUUCAUAUAGAAAAUGUUGGUUAUGAUAGGUUAGAUCAGGUUUGGUUCUUCUUCUAUUUGUGAAUAGUAAGACUACGGAGAACGAAAAUUCGUUGGCGGCUAAUUAUCAGGAUCACGCAGGUCAUCAAGUAAACGUGACAAGAGUGGCGGCCGACAUGGUGUGUCGGCACCGCCAAGAAGUAAAUUAGACAGUCCUUUGUAAUUUUCGGCGUUCGUUCAAAAUAAUGGACCGGGUUUUAUACCAUUUACGAGAUCCGCUGUAUCCAUUUAUUAGGCACAGGAUGAUGGGUGGUUUGAAAAUCAUCCGCGGCAAUUAGACACAGCGGAUUUAAUUGUUUACAUAAAGGUCCUUUGAUAGAAUAUUCUUCAAAUUAUUGCCUCGUCGUUGAAUUGACAUCGAUACCAAUAAAAAAUAAGAAGAGUAUCCUUUAUGGAACUAGUGCCAAUUACGUGCCACGAUUUCCGUCAUUAUCGUUGAAGCCACGGUCAUCAGCGUAGACUUAAAAUAUCAUCAAAAGAGAUCCCAAGGAGUUUUUACGAUGUUUACAUCUAGUUGUAGAUUAAGAAAUAUUGAUUAGUAGCAGCAAUAAUAUAUGGGCUUCAAAUAAUAUUGUAGAAUCCAAUUAAUUAACAAAAUACAAUACAAUAAAAUUUGUAUCGUUGUUAAACUCCAGCGACACAACGUAAUUUUCUUCUUUCCCCUUUCCGCUCGUUCAAAUCUUUUGCGUUCGCGUGAACGUACGCACACGUGUUGUGACUCAGGAAUGAUAACCGAUGAUUUAUCCAUGACAGGCUGCAGGUAUCGCGGAUGGAUUAUCGUUCUGAUUGCAAAGUAUGAAAUAAUUAGGGAGCGGGACCGUCGGCCAUCCAUCAUCGAGCAACGAUGGCCGCUUGUCAGGCGCCGUUCAUUUAUCAUACUCGCUCAGCCAUCGCCCUCUUCCUAUUCCCAUCGCAUCGCCGAUGUUCCAUUGUUCGUAUAUCGGACGUAACCGUCCGUUACUGCUAAUUACCUCCUGCCCCUGCGAAAGAUUACGCGGUCAAGGUAUCGGACGUAUUAACGGGUGGGUUACGCGUACCUAGCGUGCUGUUUCUGGAUGAACAUGGACCGAACAAUGACUCCAUUAGAUACAUACUCGUUCGGACGAAGAUCUCGAGUAGCUGGUCAACUAAAUCACCUAUUCUGAGUGAAUUUAUCACAUUUUCGCAUGAUGGCAUGUUUGUCAUCUGCCGUUAUGGUUAAUUGAGGUUUAAAGUAGGUUAAGUUUGGUCAAUAUUUCCUUAUUGGAGGAAAGUAAUAUACUUGAAAAAAUUCCAUUGAAGCUAGAAUCGAGCAAUAAUGUGCUGCUAUCAUGUUGAAAAAAAAAACGAAUAAUAUUAGGUCUAGUAAAGAUACGAUUACGUAUCUACCAUAUACAUACCAGCCAAGCAGGAGAUAUAUCUUUAAAGUAUAUUUAUUGUGUCUGUCGUAAACUCCUUUAUUCUUCCUUUGUCAUCAAAUGACAGUCUGUCUAAACAUUUUAUGAACCUGACUUUUUUUCGACCGUAACAUUGUGUCGGUUUUUGUUUCCCUUUGUAUUCACUGAUUUUUGUAUACCCAUCCAACGUUUGGUUUUGUGAGGAGGCAAUAAUACGAGAAAUCGCUUUGUAAAUUUUGUCUCGACGAUGCAUCUCAACAUUUUAAAAUAUUACUGCACCGAAGGUUUUAAAAGUUUGUUCGAGGGAGUUUGUUUCUACCUGCUCCUUGAUUCUAACAUCUAUUUUGAAAGUGCCACGUUGCAAAGCAUGUUGAAGAGAAGUCACCUUUCUCGAUUACUAUUCUCUAUCUUUAGUAAAAACUGAUAGAGCUUUUAUCAGGAAACAUUUACGAGUUCAAUGUUUGUUGUUUUUGGCGGAAAUUAUUUUGGCCUAACUGAAAUGCAACACGAAUAGAUGUCGAGAAAUUUAAAUCUGAUCUAUUUAUAAAAUAAAGAUUCUCUCUCUCUCUCUCUCUCUCUCUCAGCAACAGCUCUAUAAAAAAAUUUAAUUAAAUUGUUUUACUUAUAAAUUUGUAUUUCUUUUUCUCGUUUUAUAUACAUAUGUAUAUCUCGAAAUUUAUUACGAAUAUCACGAAACGGUAUGGGACUUUUAUGUUCACCUCAAUCCAUUCUACGUUCACACGAACGGAGACGAAUCUGGAACGCUGUGUUUAUUAAAAAUGUCGAUGUUGUCACAGUGUAUUACAAAAAUAAUAAUUUGAACCAAUUGUGUGCCAGAUGUAAUUUUUAAUCAUAUACGUGAUUCCCUCCUCUCUUUCACUCUCUCUGUCUCUUUGUAUGUGGUUGUCUCCGUGGUCAAGCUCAAUACGGUGGUGUCUUCCUACUCUCGAUUUAUAGUUUUAUACCUGUAGCGGGAAAGAAGAAGUGAUACCUAAUAGACAAGAUUUACUGCGGCACGCCCGUCUCAAUUGCGGAACAAAUUUAUCUUCUCUGCGGUCAGCAGCCUCCCCAUCGCUUCCUAGCUUCAAUCUUGGUUCCACUGUUCCUGAAAUAUUGGUUCACCCCCAGACUCGAAAGUUACUUGACAAACGAAUCGAUGUACGGUCGAAGAGGGAGAGAAGAAGAGGGACGGUCCCUACGGGGUUAGCAGGCCUGUAAACUUUCCCGCGCUACGACGAACAACACAAAACACACAUACGCUCUUUCUUUCGAUCUCCGCACGUCAGUCCCUUUAAUCGUUCCAAGUCAUAGGAAAUCCUUUUGGUACGUAAUUCGUAUUUUUAUUUAAUUUAGCACAGUCUGUGAUUUUGAACGAGUAUGUAUUUGUGUUUAUAUUUGCGUAACUCGUUAUAAUUUGUAAUGCAAUUAAGAACAUAAAUUAACAAGAGAUAUUAAUUAAGAUUUAAUCACAGGCAUGAUUUGCGAUUAAUAAAAUUAUAAUUUGUCAUAGACACGCACGCCCACAAUAUAAAAUUUGAUACAUGUUACUGAUAUUUCGAGAACACUAUUUAAAAAUGUGAUACGUGUUUUUUUUUUCCCCUGUCUCUCUUUUGUCUUUAUAUAUGCAUAUAUAUAUUUUUUUUUGCCCUCUCUCUUUCUUUAUCAUUUUCUCUACUUAUUCUUCUCUACAUCUCUACUUAUUCUUCGCGACGAAACGACGACUGGCGAUUCACGCCUGUAAAUUGUGCUUUGGACGUGCAAUUAGUGCGACAACGUCGACCUUUACCAGCAAGAACACCGAAGGAGUAUCAUAAAGAGCUGGAAAAACGAAAAAGCAAUCUUAUAUUUCAGCGUGUGAAUAUGUUUUGACACAGUAGGAACACGCUAUUCACACAUUCGAAUGCGGAGUAAGGGUGACGUAAUAAUAUAAAUAAAAGAUAUAUUUUUCGACAUAUCAAUUUAUUAGAACUGAUUGUGCAUCUGUUGGAUUUUAAAUCCGAGCGCAACCUGACAUUUUUUCGUCACAAAUGCAGAAAUAUCAAGACGAGUUCACCUACAUUCCAUGACUCCAAGUGGGUAAUUCGAUAUACGAACUUAGUACAGAGUCGAAUGCGUAUAUCGCGUCAUUCUAUGUAUGCGUGUAGGAAUGUGUGGGAGCGAGUAGAACGCAGGGCUGCGUGUCUGCCUGUAAUCACGCGCCGGGAUAAAGUUAUUCCGGGGUAUAAAUAACCGACAUGUCUGGAAUAAGGCAUUAAUUUGUGUUAUUUAUCGGCCAUUACGCGGCAAAGAAACAUUCGCAUGGGAAAUAAUGUAUCAUUCUCAACACGCGUCCGCAGUGAACGCGGACGGGGAAUCGAGGAUGAUUCGGAAUACCAACGAAUGGAACGGACGUAUAACGAAAGCUUCGUUGAACACAGUUACGUAAAUUGAUAUAGAGAUGACUGAUUUUAAGAAAAAAAAAAAAAGAUUACUAUAUUCAAAAUAACAUCCGAUAUUUCAAUACGAAAUACCUGUUAAUUUCACAAUUUUGAAUAUUCUAAUGAUAAAAUUCGAGUAGGAAAACUCUUUUACAAUCAUAUUCAAACUCUGUUCCAAAAGUGAUAAUGAAGAAGAAAUGUCACAUUUAGUACUCUGCUAUAAUAACAUUAAUUAUUUUACCAUACUGCAAAUAGAGACUGAUUUAUAUAAGGAUAGUAUACACAGAUGGUCACUAAUAUCGUUCCAUUUUCUCUAUCUCUGAAUUUAUAAACCAUAUCAUAAAAUAUCCGAUAAUAAUCGUUUAAAUUAGUUAUUAUAUUAAUAAUCAUUAAAAUGAAAUUAAAAUAAUUCGAAAUUGCGAUAUUAGUUGAUAGAAGAUAACCUUUCAGAUUUACCUUUGGCGGUAAAUACUUGAUCGAGAGUCCGCUGUUGGUAAAAGCAUUAUCUUCUAUUAUCUGGCUAUCCACGUAACUAAUUGUUGAAUCUUGUCCAAAAUCUAUAGAAUUUUCUGCUGAUGUUUUAAUAAAAAUUUUUAUAUAAAUACUUAGAUGGCUAAUCACAGAAAAUAAAAAUAGGAUAAAAUGGUCUAAAAAAAAGGAUGGCAUCACUUUCAAUGAGUCUGAAAACGUUAUUACCAAAUUAUAAUAUCUUUUUAUAAGAUACGUAGACAAAAUCUACUGUUAAAUACUAUUAAAUUGUUACAGCUUAGAUACAAAAAUGUGACUGACAAAGUUCAUAGUUAUCAUCUAUAGUAUCUUGUAAAAUACAUGAUAGAACAUAAAGAAUAAAAUAUAAAAUAAAAUUUGAUAUAACACAAGAGAUUUCAGCAUAAGAAAUUAGGAUUAAUCAUUAUUAUCUGUAAAUGAUUAUAGUGAAUGAAGGUGGAAUAUGCAUAUUUAUUAUAUCGUCAUAUAUUUAACUCUGCGUCAAAGAGUCUCGUAGAAGGAACUAUCCUCGAUGAGUUACGGACAGAGCCGCCGCGGCAUUAAUUGGGUCUAUCGCCCAAACGAACACAUGUCGGAUUACUCAUUCCAUUCUGCCGGCACAUAUACAUACAUCAAGCGGCAGCAUAGUCGUGCUAAGAAGCAGAGGAAGAAGAAGAAGAAGACGAAGAAGCGAGAGCAUGCUUGAUUUAUCUUCUGCGCAUUAUCAUCUGACACUUUGACAUUUUGUUUGAAUGGAUAAGAGUGGCUAAUGUCGCUUUCAAGUCUCGGAGGACCGGCGCUGACGAACACAAGUGCGGAUUAGGAGUUGUGGGGAUUGCGGAUACGUAAAAUAUUAUAUUGUGUGAUAUUAUAGAAAGACAGCGAGAGAAAGAAAAAGAAAAAUAGCACAUAUUAUUUAUAAGUUUGUCAAUAAGCAAUACGCUACGCGACGAUAGUGCGUUUUAUUUAACAUUUGCGCUUGUUUCGUAUACUAACAUAAUUAAGCAUUUAGUUAAUUUAUAACCCCACUUAAAAAGCGUUGGAAUAUAUACUUUAUAUGUGUAAUGUAAUGUAUACGUUUGUGCGUAUCUACGAACAGAUGCGUAUGUGUAGCGCAUAUUUCUUUGGUAUCUUAUAACAUUGUUUUUAUAAAUCAAUCAAACGAACCUUACAUAAAUUUAAUAGUAAAAUUCUCAGUGAAGCGAAUGUGGACUGAUUAAUCAUCCAUAUCCAGAAACGACAUACUUCUCAUCCAUCAUUACCACCACCCAACAGUCACUCCAUUAAUCAAGUACGGCGACAUCUUGACGCGUUCGGUUAUUGAUGCUUUUUCUUACCGCGGUUAAUACCGGUUUUGAAUUCAUAACGUCACUUGGAUUAACGCGAGGUGCCGAUAUCGAUCGGCUAUCCUGAUAUUUAUAAUUACUUGAUGCGUUACAAGAUCUUGAGAAAAAUAUCCUAUGUAUAAGAAAGCGAUGGAAAAAGUAAUCGCGCUUAGUUAACAGCUAAUUGAGUGAGGUUGUAUAUUAUUUAAAAAAUCGAAUAUGAUUAACGACUUAUAAUGACACGUCUGUUUUUGAUUUUCUUCUGUUUUUAUAAUUAGUAUGUUAGGAAUCACAUCUGUUUUUCUUCCCGAUCUUAAUUACGUCUCGGAGGAUAUACCAUACGCGCGAAUAAGUCUUACAGAUUUGUUUGAAUAAUCGGGACAAUUAAAUUCUUUUUUAUUAUUUUCGAUACUUAACUUACUUAGGUAGUAUAUACGAUAUAGUAGUUACAAUUAAUAUCACAAUAUUUAUCAAUUAUCUACGAAAAAACCGCUUGAAUUAAGCAUUCAAACACUAUCCGAACGGUGCGCAGUCAAUGUUCGAUAUCAAGCAAUUUUCAUUCGUUUUUUCCAUACUACGGUGGUUUCUAUUCAUGUUCAACGACACCGUGGAGAACAUUGUAUCAUUCUCGAGUGAUAAUCGAAUUAACUACUCGAGUUAUCGACAUUGUCGGUAUCCAGCAGUGGAACACUCGCUCAGGAAAAUGCGCCAUGCCGUGCUAUAGGUCCACAGCUAUGAUACUUUCAUGCGCGGCACACGGCCUUAAUUGAAUUUAUGUACCAUUUUAUUUCACGUUUCAGAUUUUCGUGCCAAUCCCCGAUAAAUCUGUCGGCAUUAAUAAUCAUAAGUGUAAGUUACGGCCGGACCAAUGGUCCAAUAAAAGCUACGGUGAAGCUAAUGCUGAAAGAGAGGUAAAGGGAAGAGGUUGCAGGGGAUACCAUAUUAGGGAUAAAGGGAUAGAGAGAGAAAGAGAGAAGAAGGGAGCAACUGAGCGAACGUGAGGAUUAAUGCUAAUCAAGAAUAAAUUAUAAUCAUACUAACGUUUCCGUACCGGAUGGCAAAUGCUCAGAUGCAUAGGGGAAAAGGGAGACUUUAAUUUAUUGAACGGCCGAAAAGACAUUGCGCGUAAGCGCAUAACUUGUGUUUAUCAAAAUCCGGCCAUUUACUCCUGAAACAUAUUACCGGUUUAACUGCCAGCCGGAUAGCUAUUUUAGGGAUGUUUAUUGUGCACUGGUGUGCGAGAAGUAGAUAUAUUUAAAAUGUGUAUAUUACGAAAAAUAGAGGAGUAAUGCCAUGAUAUUUAAUAAUGCGGUGAUAUUAUAGCGCAAGUGUCAUGACACACAAAACUGUUACUUUUAUGUACACUUUAGAUUGGUGAUCACAGUCGUAAUAUAAAAAAAAAAAAUAAUUUUACGCACAAAUAUUUACUCAAUGACUGUUGUAUUUCUGGUAAUGAUAACGAUGACGUCUGCCAUGAAUAAUACAAUGUUUAUAAUUUGCUUAAUAUAGAAACAUGUUUUGUUUGUAUAUAUAAAAACAAAUUAAUAAAAAUUCAUAAAAAGAUAUGUGUGACAACAUAAACUAUAUGUAAUAAAUUUUCAGACUAACAAAGAAGUGCUAUUAUUUAUGCAAAUUAAUGUUAAAAUUCGACUAUUAAAAAUGUGAUAUAAUGAGAACUGACAUUACUUAAAAAUUGCAUGUUAUAUUUCAAUCCGUGUCUCUGUUUGAGUCUAUAAUCCAUUUUGCUUAACUCAACAACGGUUGCAACGAUGACAAAUGUUUUGAGUUGAUUAUCUCCCGUCGAGAGUUAUUUACGCGACACGCAUCAUGUUAUUUUUAACCAUUCACGAUAUAGUAAGAGAGGCUUGUGUUCCCAGCAUAUAUUUAUCAGCGUAUUUAUACUGUCGAUCAAUAAAGUAGCAGAUAAAUGUUACAGCACCGUCAUUAAAAACGGUAGCUUAUUUUUGCUUCGUAUUUGUAGCCUUUUUAAGUUAUGCCUUUUUAGCCUUUUUAUAUCCAUUGCAUAUUUAUUAUGAUCGGUCAACAAGUUACUAAUUACAAAGAACGCGCGUCAUGAAUUAAAUUUGUAAGCUAUAUUUUAUUCUAUCUUUUGACGUUGUCGCAAUAUAAGCUGUAAAGUUAGUAUGUAAAAAUGUAAAAUUCGCAAAUAUCUAACACAUCGCUUGGAAAUGUAGAGCAUCUGAUUUCUUUAAGAGAAUAGAAAUCUUUUAUAUUUAUAUUUAAUGCGUAAGCAUAGUGAUCAACUUUGUAGAAGGAUAUUUAUCACGACGGCUUCGCGUGUAUAGCUCAUACCGAGAAGCGAGUAUAUCUAGGGGGUCGCACAGGGCACCGCUUAUUUACUUCAGGUCGCGAGUUGAUGUAUGGCUCACUGCUGGACGUUGUCGGUGCCUUUUAUUCGGCCAUCUCUUGCAGAGACAAGAGAUAACCUCGUCUCUGAUCAAUGACUCUCUGCUACUCUUUAAAGACCCUAUGCUAUAUGAUCCAAACACACUGGUAUGAAUCUCAGGUCGUUUACAAUGACGCAGCUUACAUACAUAAACGUGGUAUCUAAAUGGAUUUUUUAAAAGUGUAUGAAUUGUUUAAAACAACCUUUAUAUUUAAAUCCGCCGAUCCUGAUUGCAUUUGAGAGCUUUGACUUAGUUUGGAUGGUUAAUAGACCCAUGUAUUAACGAGACAACAAACUUUAAUGAUAUUUUACUUUAAAUAAGUCCGAACACUUCACAGAUUAGAGCUUCUCAGUGUAGCUAUUUCGCACACAGUGUAUCCAUUAAAUCCCAGCAAGAACGUGAGCCCGCAUUGUGUGGUCUAAAGCACAAACGUUUCAAGAUCCAAUGAACGAUACGGGAUGUCUUUACUGCGACGGUGGUGGUUACGGUCUGCUGUACAAAUAAUGCGGGCAAUGCAAACGGUAGGAACCACAUGGAACGCUGUGGCUCGCGAUCAAAUUCAAUCUCCGUACAAGAAUUUGGAAUUCUUGCAGACCGGUUAGACUCCAACAAUGGAAAUCAACUUCUGGAGUAUUGAUCAUAGAGGUGCACUAUGUUAAAUUCUGUUUUUGCAUCCGUAUUCGCAUAACGUGUAUAAUUAAAUGUAAAAUACUUAAUCCAAUUUACACACAGAAGAACAUCGAAUAAAAUUACAAAAUAUGUUGAAGAAUUACAUUUCAAAUAUAUAGACGAGUCUAAGUUGUAUUAAACUAAUUGUAAUGUGUCGGACUUGUAAUAGAAAUUAGGGAUCGAUUAGCUUCUUUCAAUAAUAAUGGUUUUUUUGUCAUCGCUUAAAUA